rnacentral:rRNA from 1 species
UGGGGGAUAUUGCACAAUGGGGGGAACCCUGAUGCAGCGACGCCGCGUGAGUGAAGAAGUAUUUCGGUAUGUAAAGCUCUAUCAGCAGGGAAGAUGAUGACGGUACCUGACUAAGAAGCCCCGGCUAACUACGUGCCAGCAGCCGCGGUAAUACGUAGGGGGCAAGCGUUAUCCGGAUUUACUGGGUGUAAAGGGAGCGCAGGCGGUGCGGCAAGUCUGAUGUGAAAACCCCAGGCUCAACCUGGGGAGUGCAUUGGAAACUGUCGGACUGGAGUGUGGGAGAGGCAGGCGGAAUUCCUAGUGUAGCGGUGAAAUGCGUAGAUAUUAGGAGGAACACCAGUGGCGAAGGCGGCCUGCUGGACCAAGACUGACGCUGAGGCUCGAAAGCGUGGGGAGCAAACAGG